rnacentral:rRNA from 1 species
CACGUAGGGGGCAAGCGUUGUCCGGAUUUAUUGGGCGUAAAGAGCUCGUAGGUGGCUGAGUAAGUCGGAUGUCAAAUCCCCAGGCUCAACCUGGGACACCACCCGAUACUGCUCUGGCUAGAGUCCGGUAGGGGAGCGUGGAAUUCCUGGUGUAGCGGUGAAAUGCGCAGAUAUCAGGAGGAACACCGGUGGCGAAGGCGGGUCUCUGGGCCGAUACUGACGCUGAGGAGCGAAAGCGUGGGGAGCGAACAGG